GAUGAACGCUGGCGGCGUGCCUAAUACAUGCAAGUCGAGCGAAUGGAUUAAGAGCUUGCUCUUAUGAAGUUAGCGGCGGACGGGUGAGUAACACGUGGGUAACCUGCCCAUAAGACUGGGAUAACUCCGGGAAACCGGGGCUAAUACCGGAUAAUAUUUUGAACUGCAUGGUUCAAAAUUGAAAGGCGGCUUCGGCUGUCACUUAUGGAUGGACCCGCGUCGCAUUAGCUAGUUGGUGAGGUAACGGCUCACCAAGGCAACGAUGCGUAGCCGACCUGAGAGGGUGAUCGGCCACACUGGGACUGAGACACGGCCCAGACUCCUACGGGAGGCAGCAGUAGGGAAUCUUCCGCAAUGGACGAAAGUCUGACGGAGCAACGCCGCGUGAGUGACGAAGGCUUUCGGGUCGUAAAACUCUGCUGUUAGGGAAGAACAAGUGCUAGUUGAAUAAGCUGGCACCUUGACGGUACCUAACCAGAAAGCCACGGCUAACUACGUGCCAGCCGCCGCCGUAA
rnacentral:rRNA from 1 species